rnacentral:rRNA from 1 species
CCUACGGGAGGCAGCAGUGGGGGAUAUUGCACAAUGGGGGGAACCCUGAUGCAGCGACGCCGCGUGGGUGAAGAAGCGCCUCGGCGCGUAAAGCCCUGUCAGCAGGGAAGAAAAUGACGGUACCUGAAGAAGAAGCCCCGGCUAACUACGGGCCAGCAGCCGCGGUAAUACGUAGGGGGCAAGCGUUAUCCGGAUUUACUGGGUGGAAAGGGGGCGCAGACGGCGAUGCAAGCCAGGAGUGAAAGCCCGGGGCCCAACCCCGGGACUGCUCUUGGAACUGCGUGGCUGGAGUGCAGGAGGGGCAGGCGGAAUUCCUGGUGUAGCGGUGAAAUGCGUAGAUAUCAGGAGGAACACCGGUGGCGAAGGCGGCCUGCUGGACUGCAACUGACGUUGAGGCCCGAACGCGUGGGGAGCAAACAGGAUUAGAUACCCCUGUAGUC